GCGCCGAAAAUGUACCGGGGCUCAAGCCAUACACCGAAACUGCGGGUGCAUCUUAUGAUGCGCGGUAGCGGAGCGUUCUGUAAGUCUGUGAAGGGAGACCCGUGAGGGCUCCUGGAGAUAUCAGAAGUGCGAAUGUUGACAUGAGUAACGAUAAAGGGAGUGAGAGACUCCCUCGCCGAAAGACCAAGGGUUCCUGCUUAAAGUUAAUCUGAGCAGGGUGAGCCGGCCCCUAAGGCGAGGCCGAAAGGCGUAGUCGAUGGGAACCACGUUAAUAUUCGUGCGCC
rnacentral:rRNA from 14 species